UAAACAGGCUGAAAGUUGCAGAACAGGAUUAGAAAAUAAUAUCCAGGUAAAAUGAGGAACUGUGCUCAUUUCCUCAUCUGCUUUGGCUUUAAACUGUAUUUUUAAAUGUGACUCAUUCAGUGUAUAACAGCAACCAGUUUUACCACCACACACCCAGAGACAGGAAUCUAUCCCAACUGGCAGAAAAUUAACCUUUAAAUGUUUCAGUACGUCCCUGUUGGUUCUGGCACGAGGUUGUGACUGGAAUGGCCGUUCAGUGACAACAUCAGCUGGGUUAAUACCAACCUGAGAAAGUGACUCAGUCUAAUCCGAUUGGAGGAAUAAGAGCCGCUCUAUGUCUGCAGGAGGAUGUUUAGAGCUGAUGUCGCUCAGGCUCAGAGGACGUCCUGGUAGACAUCUCAGGCCACAACCAUCAUAUCACACUUAGACACCGAGGAAAAUGAAAAGACCGCGUCAAUCACAGCUCAGCUUUGGGAAAGAAAAAGACACGGGACAAGAUGAGGAGGUGAGGAAGAUGAGAGAAGAAGAGCAGGAACCGUGCAAAAAAAUAGGGUUCACCACACCACUCGAAACAUCCAGAUGUGAUCUGUGGGACUAGAUCAUUAAAAUCUCUGUUAUCCAUGGAUGAAGAGACCUUUCAAGUUCUUCCUGUCAAACAUGCCAUACUAUGGAUGUGAUUGAGAUCAACCUCCUAAAGAUCGGGCUCCUGUGCAUCCUCUGAAAAAGCGUUGUCUUCUUUCAGGGAAUUGAUGACUUCAUGCAUCUUUUAUUACGCCUGAGGAAAGUAGUGUUUUACAGGUGGCUGCCCCGAGAGCUCAUCAGGCCUCAGCAGGAGUUUUAUGGAUUGGGAUGUUUUAUGUUCUGUGUGAGGAGUUGCCAACCCGUAUGGAGAUAAGAUGAACAUUAACAGAGUCUCUGCUGUCUCUGAAGCUGUUGGCUAUCCACAUAUGAUGAACGCAGCA